UUACAACGGAGAGUUUGAUCCUGGCUCAGGAUGAACGCUAGCGGCAGGCCUAAUACAUGCAAGUCGAACGGUAAGGUCUCUUCGGAGAUACACGAGUGGCGCACGGGUGAGUAACGCGUAUGCAACCUACCUAUAACUGGGGAAUAGCCCUUCGAAAGGAGGAUUAAUACCCCAUAAUGUUUCUGAGAGGCAUCUCUCAGUUCCUAAAACUCCGGUGGUUAUAGAUGGGCAUGCGUGACAUUAGUUUGUUGGUGAGGUAACGGCUCACCAAGACUACGAUGUCUAGGGGGUCUGAGAGGAUGAUCCCCCACACUGGUACUGAGACACGGACCAGACUCCUACGGGAGGCAGCAGUAAGGAAUAUUGGG
rnacentral:rRNA from 1 species